rnacentral:lncRNA from 1 species
ACAAUAAAUAGGUCAUUCCAAAGCCUUCCACAGGCACCAUCAUGUCAUCUUUGUUUAAUACAGUAUUCCUUAACCAUUUUAUAAGACUGUGUGAAGUAUAUUGUAGUAUUCAGUAUAUUCCUGUAGAACUGAAAUAAUUUGUUAUAGAUAUUUAUGUCAUGAAUAGGAACUCUAUCAUAUCAAACACACUAGUAAUUCUCAAUCUAUUGAUGUUCCAGAAUAACUUUCUAAGUCACUGUGCAUGUUAAUGUCAAAAGAAUUCAGGUCUAAUCUAGGCUAUAACUAGCUCAGUGAACUCUCAUUUGUGCUUCUCAGCUCGUAUACAGA